UCUAGUUUCUUAAAGUAGUUUGACUCAAAGGACAUACCAUCACCCAAAAAGAAGUUGUUCUGUCAAGAGAUAUCCAUCUCCUAUAGGAAGUGAUACGUCGGCCAGUCCCAAGCCCAGGUAAGGGAGGACUGAUGGCAAGUGGGCAGCUGCUGUGACUUGCACAAGUGGAGAUGCUUCUCCAGAUUGUCAUUGUGUACUGAAACUCCAUAUAUCUUGGGUGACAAACACCCUUUCCAGAAAUGGACAGUCAACAUGGUGUAGAAGGACAGACGAGCUUGUUGAUGGCUUGGUUUUCAUGUUCAUUUGGCUAGGUUUUGAAAGGCAUUGGAGUAAACCCCAUCAAG